rnacentral:rRNA from 1 species
AAGACCUUGUGCUUUUGGAGCGGCCGAUGCCUGAUUAGCUUGUUGGUAAGGUAAAAGCUUACCAAGGCUUCGAUCAGUAGCUGGUCUGAGAGGACGACCAGCCACACUGGGACUGAGACGCGGCCCAGACUCCUACGGGAGGCAGCAGUGGGGAAUUUUGGACAAUGGGGGCAACCCUGAUCCAGCCAUGCCGCGUGAGUGAAGAAGGCCUUCGGGUUGUAAAGCUCUUUCAGCCGGAACGAAACGGUUACGGAUAAUACCCGUGACUACUGACGGUACCGGAAGAAGAAGCACCGGCUAACUACGUGCCAGCAGCCGCGGUAAUACGUAGGGUGCAAGCGUUAAUCGGAAUUACUGGGCGUAAAGCGUGCGCAGGUGGUUUUGUAAGUCAGAUGUGAAAGCCCCGGGCUCAACCUGGGAACU